UACAGAGGGGGCAAGCGUUAUUCGGAAUUAUUGGGCGUAAAGGGCGCGUAGGCGGCCUGGCAAGUGACGGGUGAAAGCCCUCGGCUCAACCGAGGAACUGCCUGUCAUACUGCCGGGCUUGAGUCCGGGAGAGGUGAGUGGAAUUCCCAGUGUAGCGGUGAAAUGCGUAGAUAUUGGGAGGAACACCAGUGGCGAAGGCGGCAUCCUGGACCAUUACUGACGCUGAGGCGCGAAAGCUAGGGGAGCAAACGGG
rnacentral:rRNA from 1 species